CUAAAUAACUUUGCUAACCGCACAGUCUCUGAACUGGCGGUGUAUCUUUCAAAUGUCUGCCUUAUCAACUGUUGAUGGUAGAUUAUGCGCCUACCAUGGUUGUAACGGGUAACGGAGAAUCAGGGUUUGAUUCCGGAGAGGGAGCCUGAGAAACAGCUACCACAUCCAAGGAAGGCAGCAGGCACGCAAAUUACCCACUCCCAGUUCGGGGAGGUAGUGACGAAAAAUAACGAAAUGAUGCUCUAUGAGUGUCAUUAUCGGAAUGAGUACAAUCUAAAUACUUUAACGAGUAUCAAUUGGAGGGCAAGUCUGGUGCCAGCAGCCGCGGUAAUUCCAGCUCCAAUAGCGUAUAUUAAAGUUGCUGCGUCUGAAACG
rnacentral:rRNA from 1 species